AUCUAUGGCCUUGCCACUCUGAACAUGCCCGAUCCCGUUUGAUCUUGGAAGCUAAGCAAAGUCGGGCCUGGUUAGUACUUGGAUGGGUGACCACCUAGGAAGACCAGGUGCUGUAGGCA
rnacentral:rRNA from 1 species